rnacentral:rRNA from 1 species
UAGCCGUAAACGAUACUCGCUAGGUGUCGGCCACGGUGCGACCGUUGUCGGUGCCGUAGGGAAGCCGUGAAGCGAGCCACCUGGGAAGUACGGCCGCAAGGCUGAAACUUAAAGGAAUUGGCGGGGGAGCACAACAACGGGUGGAGCUUGCGGUUUAAUUGGAUUCAACGCCGGAAAUCUUACCGGGACCGACAGCAACAUGAAGGCCAAGCUGAAGACUUUGCCGGAUUCGCUGAGAGGUGGUGCAUGGCGUAGUCGUGU